rnacentral:snRNA from 1 species
GGAUGUGAGGGCGAUCUGGCUGCGACAUCUGUCACCCCAUUGAUCGCCAGGGUUGAUUCGGCUGAUCUGGCUGGCUAGGCGGGUGUCCCCUUCCUCCCUCACUGCUCCAUGUGCGUCCCUCCCGAAGCUGCGCGCUUGGUCGAAGAGGACGGCCUUCCCCGAAUAGAGACGGACCGGUCUUCGGUCGAGGGUAUACGAGUAGCUGCGCUCCCCUGCUAGAACCUCCAAACAAGCUCUCAAGAAAUUAAACAGCCAAAAGUUAGGUAUUGGGAGCCACGCCCACAAACCACCUUUGACUCGGCUAUAUAAGCUCAUUUAUUGGCCUUAUCU